rnacentral:rRNA from 1 species
GAAACGACUGCUAAGACUGGAUAGGAAGUUUUAAGGCAUCUUGAAACUUUUAAAAGACCCGCAAGGGUAUGCUAAGAGAUGGGCUUGCGGCACAUUAGUUAGUUGGUAAGGUAACGGCUUACCAAGACUAUGAUGUGUAGCUGGACUGAGAGGUUGAACGGCCACAUUGGGAUUGAGAUACGGCCCAAACUCCUACGGGAGGCAGCAGUAAGGAAUUUUCGGCAAUGGAGGAAACUCUGACCGAGCAACGCCGCGUGAACGAUGAAAUAUUUAGGUAUGUAAAGUUCUUUUAUUAAAGAAGAAAAAAUGAUGGAAAAAUCAUUCUGACGGUAUUUAAUGAAUAAGCCCCGGCUAACUAUGUGCCAGCAGCUGCGGUAAUACAUGGGGGGCAAGCGUUAUCCGGAUUUAUUGGGCGUAAAGGGUGUGUAGGCGGUUUAAUAAGUCUAUGGUAUAAGUUCAACGCUUAACGUUGUGAUGCUAUGGAAACUGUUUGACUAGAGUUGGAUAGAGGCAAGUGGAAUUCCAUGUGUAGCGGUAAAAUGCGUAAAUAUAUGGAGGAACACCAGUAGCGAAGGCGGCUUGCUGGGUCUUAACUGACGCUGAGGCACGAAAGCGUGGGGAGCAAACAGGAUUAGAUACCCUGGUAGUCCACGCCGUAAACGAUGAGUACUAAGUGUUGGGUUAAACCAGUGCUGAAGUUAACACAUUAAGUACUCCGCCUGAGUAGUACGUACGCAAGUAUGAAACUUAAAGGAAUUGACGGGACUCCGCACAAGCGGUGGAUCAUGUUGUUUAAUUCGAAGAUACACGAAAAACCUUACCAGGUCUUGACAUACUCUGCAAAGCUAUAGAAAUAUAGUGGAGGUUAUCAGGGAUACAGGUGGUGCAUGGUUGUCGUCAGCUCGUGUCGUGAGAUGUUGGGUUAAGUCCCGCAACGAGCGCAACCCUUAUCGCUAGUUACCAUCAUUUAGUUGGGCACUUUAGUGAGACUGCCAAUGAUAAAUUGGAGGAAGGUGGGGAUUACGUCAAAUCAUCAUGCCCCUUAUGACCUGGGCUACAAACGUGAUACAAUGGCUGUUACAAAGAGUAGCUGAAGCGUGAGUUUUUAGCAAAUCUCAAAAAAACAGUCUCAGUUCGGAUUGAAGUCUGCAACUCGACUUCAUGAAGUCGGAAUCGCUAGUAAUCGCGAAUCAGCAUGUCGUGGUGAAUACGUUCUCGGGGUUUGUACACACCGCCCGUCA